rnacentral:rRNA from 1 species
CCUACGGGGGGCAGCAGUGGGGAAUAUUGGACAAUGGGGGGAACCCUGAUCCAGCCAUGCCGCGUGUGUGAAGAAGGCCCUCGGGUUGUAAAGCACUUUCAGUGAUGAAGAACGCCUGGUGGUUAAUACCCAUCAGGAAAGACAUCACUCACAGAAGAAGCACCGGCUAACUCCGUGCCAGCAGCCGCGGUAAUACGGAGGGUGCGAGCGUUAAUCGGAAUUACUGGGCGUAAAGCGCGCGUAGGUGGCUUGAUAAGCCGGUUGUGAAAGCCCCGGGCUCAACCUGGGAACGGCAUCCGGAACUGUCAAGCUAGUGUGCAGGAGAGGAAGGUAGAAUUCCCGGUGUAGCGGUGAAAUGCGUAGAGAUCGGGAGGAAUACCAGUGGCGAAGGCGGCCUUCUGGACUGACACUGACACUGAGGUGCGAAAGCGUGGGUAGCAAACAGGAUUAGAUACCCUUGUAGUC